GACUGUACUGUUGUUUCCAAUAUCGAAGACAGUGUUUCAUAUGCAGUGUCUGUCUUUGUUAAUGAAAAGCAUAGUACAAUC